CUCGGUACGUGUUUGUUAUUGUCAAUAAUAUCUUUAAAUUGUACAACUCGCUUAUGUUUGACAAUUACUGAGUAAUUGCUUUGCUUAUUGCAUGCUAAUUGCUGAAAAUUGCUUUUUAUUUUAAAUUCCUUAGUUAAAAAUUGCUUUUUCUUUCACAUUUCUCUGCUUAUUGAAUGACUAUUGCUAACUCAUUAGAUAGAACCUACUUCUCAUAUAAGUAGGUGGAUGCGGCCUCGAUUAGCGGGGGAACCACAUGAAAAAAAGCGAGCUACUGGGUGUACCUCCUGGGUAGUUUGGAAAUCACCUAAAAUAUAUAUGUAUAUAUUUAUAAAUAAAAGUUAAUAUAUAUAAAUUAACAUUAUUAUUUUUUAACAGGAAAUGCACAAUGCUAAAAACUGCGUAGGAGAUUUUAAUACAAUAGUACUACCAAGCCUGAUGUUGGCCGCUAUUUCAAUGAAUGCAGCAAUGUGACAGCUAGCAAUCAAAAGUAACAAGAUAUCGAGGAAAUGCAGAUGGCAAUAAACUGUGUAGGAGUUCAUGAUUGCAAUAGAAUAAAAUCGACCAAGCCUGAAGUCAGCAGCCCCUUCAAUGAAUGCAGCAGUGUGACAGCCAGCAAUCAAAAGUUACAAGAUAUCGAGGAAAUGCAGAAGGCAAAAAACUGCGUAGGAGAUCAUUAAUACAAAAGUAUUAUAUAAACCAAACCUGAUGUUGCCAGCUCCUUCAAUGAAUGCAGCAGUGUGACAGCCAACAAUCAAAAGUAACAAGAUAUCGAGGAAAUGCAGAAGGCAAAAAACUGCGUAGGAGAUCAUUAAUACAAUAGUAUUAUAUAAACCAAGCCUGAUGUUGGCCGCUCAUUCAAAGAAUGCAGCAGUGUGACAGCCAGCAAUCAAAAGUAACAAGAUGUCGAGGAAAUGCAGAGUGUAAUAAACUGUGUAGGAGAUUAUGAUUGCAAUAGAAUAAAAUCGACCAAGCCUGAAGUCCUUCAAUGCACGCAGCAGUGUGACAGCCAGCAAUCAAAAGUUACAAGAUAUCGAGGAAAUACAGAAGGCAAAGAAGCAGAUGUCAUCAAAGAAGAUCUUUGUUCCUGCAAUGUUUCCGCAGACGAUACAUCCAACAGAGCGAAGUGGAAGGAAAAGACUCGGAAUAAAGACCCCACCACCAUAUGGGAACAAUGCAAGGGAGAGAGAGAGAAUAUAAUGUUAUAUUUUUAUUUUUUGAUAACAUAAAAUAA
rnacentral:lncRNA from 1 species